rnacentral:lncRNA from 10 species
GCCAGCGAGCGUGGGGAAUGCGUAGAUGUGUGGAAGGAGAGCUCCCCACUCAGGGCACCCAGCCGCCUCUCCCACCCGGAGACUUUUUCUGUGACUUGGCCGCCGACCCUGGCGCAUGGACAACCCCAGAGCAAUAGGAGCGGCUCCAGGGAGAGGCCAUGCUUUCCAGGUCUUCUCCGGCACUCCCCACAAAGCCAGCGACUCCAAUUAUGACUCCUGAGCUGAGAGGCCUGCCAAGGUCAUCCCACGGGGGCUGCUGGCCGCCUUUUGUACCCGGUGACUGGCGGCUGGACGCGGAUCCCCUUCCCUCGCCCCAGAAUGACGUCUGAAAAUGGACCUCUUAGGGCGAGCGCGGACGGGGCCAGAUGCCAAGGCGGUCCCGGCCCGGUGACUUCAGCACUGCGAGCCCUGGGCCUGGGGGCCCCGAGUAUUUUGAGGGGCCCAGGAAAAUGGUUUAAUUUUUUUCGUAUAAAAAUACCCGGUAAUUUUUGGGUCGAAGAAAAUGUGUUAAUGUCUAUCAAUAUAUUCAUCUUCAUACCAAUGGAGUGGUAAAACAAAAUUUUUAAUAAGUUUCUCACGAAGAAGGAGUCUGCCUUAGGCCCACGGAAGUCACCACGUGGCCUGGGACUGAGGAGGCUUCAGGAGCGACCUAAAAUGUUAGGAUUGCUCUAAAUGAGGAGGCAGAGAAAGGGCGGCCUUGAACCCGGGAGGGAGCAAGGGAUGGAGCUGCGCCCUGGGUGGCAAGACAUGGCAAGCCAGGCAGCUGGGACCUAGAGAAGGCUCGGCCGCGCCGCAGGAUCCCAGGCUGUGGGCCUGAAUGGUGACCACGCGGAGUCGGAGUCAGCUCGCGUCCGCGCCGUCCCAGCUCCCCGCCUGAACCCGGCGCCCCUCCGCGAGGAAAGGCCGGCCCUGGCCCUUUCUGGGCAGUGAGGGGGGUCAGGCCGACCCGGGGAAGAGGCCGAGCAGUCAGCGCCCCUCCUUCCCCUCGGGCGGGGCAUAAGUGGCCGCCCUCUCCGCGGCUGCUGUUGGGCUUCUGAAGACGCAGCGGGUGUCUCUGAUCCCCUAAUCCAUUUAUCCAGAGUCCCGAGCGCAAUGGCUGGUGCGGGGACACAACGGCAGGAGGUGGCGGGGGUGGAGGGAGACCGGGCACUCAGCUAGCGCCACCCUCCUCCCGCCCCACCCGAGACGCUGAGCCACGACCCACCCUCCACGGGUCCCACGCCCUCAGGCAGAACGCAAUGGUGGGAAUGACGCCAAGGAAACCUCUCCAUGAAAAGCACAGGGCCAGAGUCUCAGUUGGUUUCUGGCUGAAAGAUUACUCACGAUAAAUACACCCCAGCAGAGUGGCUGAUUUCCCCGACACCCACCCCCGGCAUCGAGACCUCUGCAAGCUUCAGCAGACGAGGGCCUGUCUCCAGCGUGCCUCCCGGCCACCCCAGAGGGAACACAGGUGGAUGCUCGGCGGCCGGCCUUGUGGACUCUUCGAGGGUGGCGUGUGUGUGCCACAUAUUUCCCCGUCAGACCCUGGUUUCCCCUCAUUGCUCCCUGGGCUAAGACAGAAAUACAUGCCAAAGGCUUCCUUCCUUCCGUCUCUUUGCUCUUGCAUCACGCCACUUGCCCAGUUCCUGAAUUCUGAUUAGGUUGUGAAUUGCACCUCCAGCUUUGAACACUUACAGGAUUUUUUUUUUUCAAUCUUAGUCCCUGAAUUAGAAUGUGUUACUUCUGUGUUCUCUUCCCAGCACUGGACAGGUCGUUGUUGGUGCUUCCGUGUGGAUGGAUCACAUCCCGAGGGUGGACAUUUUGCUCCUGUAUUCCUUUGUUUGUUCUUUUUCAUCCAGGAGUUUUUAUCAUUCUCCUUGUCCUUCUCUUUUGAACUCUCCUGUGGUCAGCUGUCUGCUUUCCUUGCUCAGCACGGUGUUGGGAUGGGGUUUGUAAAUUUAAUUUCAGAUAACAUCUUGUUUGUGAAAAAAAGAAAACUAAAGAUCAGUGUAACAAUAAUAGUGAAGCAUAUGGAAUAAAACUAAAGAUCAGUGUAACAAUAAUAGCGAAGCAUAUGGAAUUGUGAAGGAAAAUAAAUAGGUUUAGUAUACACAAGAACAUAUUGCUCUGAUGGUUUUAUUUUAUUUUAUAUUUGUUUUUUCUCUG